GAGUUUGAUCCUGGCUCAGGACGAACGCUGGCGGCGCGCCUAACACAUGCAAGUCGAACGAGAGAGAGGGAGCUUGCUUCCUUGAUCGAGUGGCGAACGGGUGAGUAACGCGUGAGGAACCUGCCUCAAAGAGGGGGACAACAGUUGGAAACGACUGCUAAUACCGCAUAAGCCCACGACCCGGCAUCGGGAAGAGGGAAAAGGAGCAAUCCGCUUUGAGAUGGCCUCGCGUCCGAUUAGCUAGUUGGUGAGGUAACGGCCCACCAAGGCGACGAUCCAUAGCCGGCCUGAGAGGUUGAACGGCCACAUUGGGACUGAGACACGGCCCAGACUCCUACGGGAGGCAGCAGUGGGGGAUAUUGCACAAUGGGGGAAACCCUGAUGCAGCGACGCCGCGUGGAGGAAGAAGGUUUUCGGAUUGUAAACUCCUGUCGUUAGGGACGAUAAUGACGGUACCUAACAAGAAAGCACCGGCUAACUACGUGCCAGCCGCCGCGGUAAUAC
rnacentral:rRNA from 1 species